GACGAACCGAGCGAACGUUGUUCGGAAUCACUGGGCUUAAAGGGCGCGUAGGCGGGUGCUCAAGUCCGGGGUGAAAUCCUCCAGCUCAACUGGAGAACUGCCUCGGAUACUGGGUGCCUCGAGGGUGGUAGGGGUAUGCGGAACUAUCGGUGGAGCGGUGAAAUGCGUUGAUAUCGAUAGGAACUCCGGUGGCGAAGGCGGCAUACUGGACCGGCAUUGACGCUGAGGCGCGAAAGCCAGGGGAGCAAACGGG
rnacentral:rRNA from 1 species